rnacentral:tRNA from 1 species
GGCGCCGUGGCUUAGUUGGUUAAAGCUCCUGCCUAGUAAGCAGGAGAUCACGGUUCGGAUCUCGUCGGUGCCU